rnacentral:rRNA from 1 species
ACAUGUCUUUUUGAUUAUAAUUUUAAGUCGGGUCUGCUCCAUGAAUUUUUUAAAUAGCUGCAGAAUAUUAACUGUACUAAGGUAGCAUAAUCAAUAGUUUUUUAAUUGAAAGCUGGAAUGAAUGAUCUGAUAAGGUAAAAGUUGUCUCAUAUUUAAUAAUAAUAGAAUUUUUUUUUUAGUAAGAAUACUAAAUUAAAUUUGAAAGACGAGAAGACCCUAUAGAUUUUUAUAUUUUAGAGUAAUUAAAUUUAAAUAAAAGAAUAGUUUUUAAGUUAAAAGUAUUUGGUUGGGGAAAUUAUUAAAUUUAAUUAAUUUUAAUAAUUAUAAACAAUAAUUAUUGAAAUUUUGAUCUUUAUUAUAAAUUAAAAGAUUAAAUUACCUUAGGGAUAACAGCGUAAUUUUUUUGGAGAGAUCAUAUUGAUAAAAAAGUUUGCGACCUCGAUGUUGAAUUAAGAUAAAAUUUUAAUGUAGAAGUUAAAAAGUUUUGGUCUGUUCGACCAUUAAAAUCUUACGUGAUCUGAG